AUGUAUCGAAUUUGUUUAUUCGGUGAUGGACAGACAUCUGUUGUACCAAUCAGUUGGAUUUUUGAUGACAAUGGAACAUUGAAGUGUCGAUGGACAUCAUCACUCUCAAACAUUAAAAACAAUUCUCCACCAAACCCUAACUGGAAGGUUUAUGACAUUGUGAAGAUCGUUGGACCAUCAAUUGGAGACUAUGAUCAAGCAAAUCAAUACAUCUCAGAUUACACAACGGGGGUCUCAGCAGCAGAGGACUCAAUUACUUAUUCAAUGACAGACCCUGCAGUUGUGGAAUUACCUGAGAAGAGAAAAAGGAAAAAUAAGCUCUGUGAUGAAAGUGACAUCAAUUCAGAGACAUCUUCCUGUGAAGAUGAUAUGAACUUGAAGCAGUCAGGAAAUGAAGUGAAGCAAUCUGGUCUGAAGUCAAGAAAUGUCCCACUGCCCAAACCUCCUAUAUACCAUGAUACUCUUCAGAGAAGUGGGAAAAAAGAUGAGGAUGAUCCCAAGCCCACAAGCUCUGAUGUCUCAGAAUUUCAUGAUCUUCAACAACAUCACAUGACUUAUAAAGAAAUUACAGUGCAAACCAGGAUACCAGAUGAUGUGCAUUUAAAGAAGUCAAGAAAUGCAAUGAAGCGAGUUGGUCUGAAGACAAAGAAUGUUCAGCUGGCCAAAACUCCCAGAUACCAUGUAGUCAAGAGUCCACUUAUUCAGAAAGCUCUGUGUGUCAAAACAUCUGGUGACUGUCUGGAUGAUAACAAUGAAAGCCCUGAUGACAGUUAUUUAAACUCAAGCCAGCCCAACCCAGUAUUCUUAGAUACUCUUCAGGGAAAUGUGGCAAUGCAUGAGGAUGAUCAUCCCAAAAGCUCUGCUUCUUCAGGGAAGGAACCAAAGGAAACAAAAUGCAAAGUCACCAUGGAGAAAUUGUUUGAUCUGAAUACUAAGAUACUCCAACAAAUUCAAAUGCUGGAACAGAGACAAGCUGUCAUCAUGAAUGACUUGGCAAAAGUUAAGUCUGUUCUCAUGAAGCGGGCAGAAGAAGAUGCCCAUGAGGAACUUUUUAAACAACAACAGUGCUCCAGCUUUGAAACGUUUGAAGCCUUCUGUCAGAGGCUUGAAGAAGACAAAAAUUAUCGAGAGCUUUAUGUACACUAUCUCAUCCAUACUCACGGCAGCUCCAAUAUAGGUGAGAUGGUGAGACAGGCUUUAAAAAGCAUAGCGUCAGACAAUGUUCUCUGUCUGUAUAACAGAACGGGGAAAGAUGGGAAGAAGGUGUUGCCACCUGUGCUCCUGACAUGUUUGAAAAAAUGUGUCAGGUCUUUUCACAAACAAAAUGAAAUAGAGGUGAAGAAGCUAAAAGUAACCACCAGAACAACACCAGACGCGGAAUGUAUUCGCCAAGUAGAAAUUUUUUUGUCCAACGCCAACACCAGGCUGAAAAGGAAACCAAAUAAAGGAAAAAGCUGA
ensembl:lncRNA